AGGGAGUGAGAGAGGUAGAGAUAGAGGGAGAAGGAGUGAGGAAGAAAGAGAGAGAAGGAUAGGAAGAGGAGGAUGGGGAAGGAAAAAUGGAGGCAAUCCAGAGAGGAAGAUAAACAUGUUGAAGGAGUAUAGGCCUGUUAUUUCAGAGGGUAACGAAGUUGAACUGAAGUUGCAAAACAAGGCUGAUCAGGAUGAAAUUUCUGUGGUUCGUAGUGGAAUAGCUAGUUUAAGAGUUGGAGAUGUAAAUGAAACUCGGGGGCGGGACAACAGGGCGAAAGAGGAUGGAGCUGAAGGGGGAGGCUCAAAUGUGGAUAAAGUGGCAGUUGAGAUUGAGAAGAAGGAGGAUCAUAAGGUUUUAGCUAGAAAAGGAGAAAACCGGGGGCCUUGGAAGGGGCAUCGAGCAAUUGGAAUCCGGGGGCAUGACAGCAAGGAAAAAGAGGGCGGAGUUGAAGGGGAACGCUCAAAUGGUGAGAUAGUGGCAGUGGAGAUUGAAAAGAAGGUGGAUCAUAAGGUUGUAUCAAGAAAAGGUGAAAACAGGAGCCAUGGGAGGGGAUAUCGAGAAAAUAGAAUCUGGGGGCGAGAGAACAAUGCCAAAGAUGAUGGAGUUGAAGGUGGGGGCUCAAAUGGUGAGGAAGUGGCAGUGGAGAUUGAGAAGAAUGUGGAUCAUAAGGUUUUACCAAGAAAAGGUGAAAACAGGAGCUAUGGGAGGGGAUAUCGAGAAAAUGAAAUAUCUGAGCGAGAGAACAAGACCAAAGAGGAUGGAGUUGAAGGUGGAGGCUCAAAUGGUGAGGAAGUGGCAGUGGAGAUUGAGAAGAAUGUGGAUCAUAAGGUUUUACCAAGAAAAGGUGAAAACAAGAGCUAUGGGAGGGGAUAUCGAGAAAAUGAAAUUUGGGAGGGAGAGAACAAGGCCAAAGAGGAUGGAGUUGAAGGUGAAGGCUCAAAUGGUGAGGGAGUUGUGGUGGAGAUUGAGAAGAAGGUGGAUCAUAAGGUUUUACCAAGAAAAGGUGAAAACAGGCGCUAUGGGAGGGCAUAUCGAGAAAAUGGCAUUUGUGGGCCAGAGAACAAGGCCAAAGAGGAUGGAGUUGAAGGGGGAGGCACAAAUAGUGAGGCAUUGACAAUGGAGAUUGAGAAGAAGGUGGAUCAUAAGGUUUUACCAAGAAAAGGUGAAAACAGGAGCUUACAGCGUGCAUAUCCAGCAAAUGCGAACUGGAGGGGAGCUUUUGGGAGGGGAAUGAGCCACACGAGGCCGGACAAAUAUGAUGACUUCAGUAUGAAACCGAGAGAGAGAAUUAUGGUGUGGGUGAAAAAAGAAGACAAGCUGAAUGCAUGAUGCUACUGAACUUGGAUUCUUCGAUAAGAUUCAUUUUUGUCACAAGUAAAGUGAAGUGGAUGAUAUUGGUGAAUAUGGACAUUGGAGGUGAUCUCUGUUGGCAAAGCUCGUUUAUUAAUAGAGCCGUGAGGAGCUUCAGUACAUCAUGAGGAGCGAGUGAAAUACAUACCAAUCAGAAGAACAACGAUUUCUAUCAGUGCGACUGUCGUAGUUCCAAACGGGCUGGCUACUUCUGAGGCUGAAUCUGCCUUUAUUGUUUCUUUAGCACAGUUCGGGGUCCAGUAUAUUCUUGUAAUGUCAUUUAUGCAGUAAAUAUGCAUCUCCUUCUUGAUGUAUUUGGUACAUAUACAGUAUUAAAUAUUCUGAAUUCUGAUUCUUAAGCUCAAAA